GAAGUGCGAUAAGUGUCAUGACUUGCAGAUUCCCGAGAGCUGACAAAUCUCUGAAUGCAAAUGGCGGCUGUCCAACAGCCAUGUAUUGCAGAGUGUAGUCGUUCAUACUCAUCAUCCUCUCAUAUACACAACAGUGUUAUGAGCAAGGGAUCUGCGCUUGCGAUUGCCCGCGAGCGUGAAAAUCGGGUGUCCAUCCUUAUGACGCCAGCAUCUGGAGCAUAAGGAUGGCAACUUCGGAUGGGUUAUACGACCUCCAAGAAGUUGGAAGUGCCCGCGAAGCGAACGCUUCGAUCUAUCGACAUUCACCUCUGCAAUGCAGGAGAACCCGCUGAACUUAA
rnacentral:misc_RNA from 1 species